rnacentral:misc_RNA from 1 species
UAAACAUAUAAAGUGAUUAAAUAUCUCAACCUUCAAGAAGGUCAACAUCGACGUCGAACAGUCACCACAAUCUCAAUCUCGUGAUUUAUGCGACAGGAGCAACUCCCGCAGCUCCACAGCAUCGAUCUCGACCGACCGGUUCGCCGGCCGGUAGUACCCCGUGAUCGGAUCUGGCACCCACGAUGUCGUCGCCUCUGUCGCUCCCCCAACAGCACCCUUCACAGGCUUCUGCUCCACCGUGGUCAUCCUCACCACCGUCACCGCCGCAGCGGCAGCAGCAUAGCCCCUCCUGCUGUGGGCGAACACGGCGAUGCCGUUGGAGAGAGCGGCGGUGAAUGAGGCGUUGCGGAGAGCACGAGCCAUCGGAUGCUGAUGAAAGAAGGCUGCCGCUAUGAAGAAGAAGCUGUAGAGAUGGAGAGUGAGACGCUCUCAACCUCUUUCCCCUCUUCACAGCAACCUUCUCUUUUUUCUCUCUGGACUCGAG